rnacentral:sRNA from 1 species
GCUGGGCGCGGUGGCACACGCCUGUGAUCCCCGCACUUGGGAGGCUGAGGCAGGAGGAUCGUGAGUUCAAGGCCAGCCUCAGCAAUUUAGGGAGACCUAAGCAAUUCUGUGAGACCCUGUCUCAA